AUGCCGGCGGCGGGGAUGGACGGGGUGAUAGCGACGGUGAGCGGCUACCACGGCGACGAGCGGCACAGGCUCGUGAAGCUCAUCUCGGAGACCGGCGCCAGCUACGUCGGCGCCAUGAGCAGAUCCAUAACCCACCUGGUUUGCUGGAGGCUCGAGGGGAAGAAGUACGACAUCGCCAGGAGGCUUCGGGUGCGCAUCGUCAGCCACCGCUGGUUCCAGGACUGCCUCAAGGAGGGGAGGCGCCUCCCCGAGGGCCCCUACACCAUGGAAAGUGGUGAAGAAGCCGGGCCAGUCCCACAGCUGUCUGCUUUGCCAGGCAAGCGGUCCAAGAGAAACGCAUUCAGGGAGGAUCCGUGCCUGAAAGAGUUGCCUUCUGAUUUAUGCAACACUUCAUAUGCCAGCGAUGUGGUCAAGAUUGAUGAUUCAGAUUCUGAUUGGGAGCAUCAGGGAUGGUCGGGUUCAUCCCUAUUAAAAGAAAAUUUAGACGUUGCCGGGAAUUCGAAGAAGAUUCGUUCAGGUGAUGUUAGAGGAAAAAGGCAUUUAAAGCGUGAGCAGAAGUCAAGUGAUAAAGAUAUCCUACAUCCGCGAGACAAUGCUUCAAUUUUCAGGGAGGAUCCAUGCUUGAAAGAGUUACCUUCUAAUUUAUGCAGUACUUCAUAUGCCAGGGAUGUGCUCAAGAUCGAUGAUUCAGAUUCUGAUUUUGAGCAUCAGGGCUGGUUGGAAUCAUCCCUAUUAAAAGAAAAUUUAGUCGUCGCCGGGGAUUCAAAAAAGAUUCGUUCAGGAGAUGUUAAAGGAGGAAAAAAGCGUUUAAAGCGUGAGCAGAAGUCAACUGAUACAGAUGUCCUACAUGUGCGAGACAAUGCUUCAAGUUUGAUGAUAAGAGAAGGCCUUCACACGUCAAGUUAUACUUCAUCUCGGAGCACAUCGAAGCAAAAGGGAAACUUGUCAGGUCUCCUGCGUAAUGAGGUUGUUGGUCAGAUGGGCGAAAGAAAUGAUCCUAUGGGAAAGGGAUCACGAAGCAAGCAUGCACGCUCUCUUAUGGAAUUAUCUGAUGAUAGUUUGUCAGAUAGUUUUGAGGAACUACAAAUGUUUGAUACUUCGACUAGAGAAGCCCGGAGAAAAAUAAGGAGCACAAAUGCACCAUCAUUUCGGCAAUCUACCUUGGAAAGCAUAUACGAUCAUUGUGAAACUAGUAUGCAUGAUUACGAACCGGAAAAGAGUGAAGAGCAAGAAACUAUUGAUUUGGGUGAGAGGUCGAGAAGCUUGCAACCUGGUGAUUUGUCAGGACAUGAACCAUCUUUCUGUACACAAGAGAAAAUAGAUCAAAGUGACCUUGGCAUCACAGCUGAUCAUGACAAGGGAGAUGAUGAGAAGCUCACCAUGGAAGAAUCAUCGAGCCUGCAAAGACAAGCAGAGCUUUCAUGUGUCAUUUGCUGGACUGAUUUUUCUUCCUCGAGGGGCAUCUUACCAUGUGGACAUCGGUUCUGUUAUUCAUGCAUUCAAGGAUGGGCGGAUUGUCUGUCUUCCAGGGGAAAGGUCUCAACGUGCCCACUUUGCAAAGCCAGUUUCUCCUGGAUCAGCAAGGUGGAUGAGGCCGGUACUUCAGAUCAGAAGAUAUACUCGCAGACCCCCGUUACUUGUGGAGCUUCAACCAACAUCUUCAUGUUUGCUGACGAAGGCCACGGCGACCUUCUUGGAUCAUCAUCGUCUACCCAAGGGGCCUGCUACAUGUGCCACAGCCGUGAGCCCGAAGAGCUUAUACUGAGCUGCCACGUCUGCCGAUCGCAGUGGGUACACUCGUACUGCCUUGAUCCCCCACUGACCCCAUGGACGUGCGUACACUGCCGAGAUCUGCGGAGGAUGUACCAGCGCUAUCGCUAG
rnacentral:rRNA from 1 species